GAUGAACGCUGCGGCCUGCCUAAUACCUUCCAAUCGAGCGAACAGAUGAGGAGCUUGCUCCUCUGACGUUAGCGGCGGCCGGGUGAGUAACACGGGGAUAACCUACCUAUAAGACUGGGAUAACUUCGGGAAACCGGAGCUAAUACCGGUUAAUGUAUUUAACCGCUUGGGUCAAUAGUGAAAGACGGGUGUGCUGUCACUUAUAGAUCGAUCCUCGCCGCAUUAGCUAGUUGGUAAGGUAACGGCUUACCAAGGCAACGAUGCGUAGCCCACCUGAGUGGGUGAUAGGCCACACUGGAGCGGGGACACGGUCCAGGGGACUACGGGAGGGACCAGUAGGGAAUGGUCCGCAAUGGGGGAAAGCCUGACGGAGCGACGCCGCGUCAGUUAUGAAGGUCUUCGGAUCGUAAAACUCUGUUAUUAGGGAAGAACCAAUGUGUACGUAACUAUGGAGGUAUUGACGGUAACUAAUAAGAAAGCCCCGGCUAACUACGUG
rnacentral:rRNA from 1 species